AACGACUUCAGCAGUCUCGUCCUUGACUUACACUCCCAGCUGCCUUCCAAACCUUGGCUGCAGGAAAGAAGCCUGAGGAGAGGUGGAGAUCACGUUGGGGGAAGUUCCGGGUUCUUGAGCUUCAUUCUGGUGGCAUGUGUUUGCAGCGCUACACAGGAAAAAAGGCUCCCUUUGCUUUACUUGAACAGCAGCAUUUGAGUGACUUUUCCUUUCAUAACCAUGACAUCUGCUACCAUGGAUAGGGAACAGGAAUUGUGGAAACGUGAAGGACUAAAGUUUUAGCAUUUGGUCUAAAAGGUUAACCAUGAAGGUUAAGCUGUAUCUCCUAAGUACGAAACAAUACAAGUAUCACAACCAAGUUAUGGCUAUUUUUUAGGAAAGACAGAGGAGCAUAGGGGGAAGAAUAAAGGUGAGAGAAAUCGAGAGGGACUCAGAAAAAGAAUGGAAGAAGCAAAUGGCUACUACAAAAGGACAGACGGAGCCUGAAGACCACAGAGAAGCCACAGAGCACGCUAGUCAAAGAAAGCAGAAAGGGAAAAGAGGGAGUUGAGCGGAUAGACCUUGUCAUGUUUUGGAUGCUUCAGCUGGGUAUACCACCUGUUACACACUGAAAUACUCCCCGCAUUUCUUGGGUUUUGGGGCCCAGUGACUGGGAAUUCAUUAUUUACCGUGCAGUACCUUUGAUGGAGACGUCUAAGUGAGGGCAAAACGUCUGUACAUGAGAGGUUAUGAUUACUCAGACCUGGAGAAAUGGAAUUCUGCAUUCAUUGUUGAUUCAAAUCCCUCUCCCAGACCUCGCCUUUCUAGACAUAUUUAUUUUUCACCUUAUACUCUGGCAUCGAAGUCUGAGUGGGUAAGGGCUAAGCCCUGUUUUGGCUUUGGUAACGACCCUGGAGGUAAACGGCUCGGUUUAGCUCAGCUCGCAUUUGAAGAGUCACCUCCAGCAGCCGAACUAAGGGACACACAGUACUUCAGAGCAGUCCCAAACUUCAGCGUGCACCCAAAUCAGCUGAAGCGGUUUUUAAAGCACGGAUUGCUGGGCCCCACCUCACAGAUUCUGAUGCCCCGGACCUCUAGCAGGAUCGGAUUAUUUGCAUUCCUACACCAUCCAGGUGCUGCCGAUGCUGCGGGUCCGGGGACUCACGCCAGAGAACUGCGCUUUCGACCGGAAGAGGGGAUCGCCUCGAAAUGCUAGUACCGAACAGCAACACAACUACACUCCGGUUUCAACUGGAACUGCAAAGUCCUAAAAAUCGGCAGCGGCCGUCCUCCACCCUCCGCGUCCACGCAGGCGUGGAAGGGACCCGGCGGCCCGGCAAGCCCCGCCCCCUCAGCCCGGUCUCCUGGCCACGCCCUCCGCGCCGCCCCUCAUUGGGCCGUUUCCACGCACGCGUCCCGCCCAUUGCGCCUCCCGUCACGUUACGUUCUUCCGGCUGCCCCGCGGGGUCGCGCGUCUUGUCGCUCCCUGCCGCCGCCUUGGCCGGGGCGGGUCCCCGCGGCGCCCCCUGCUGGUGCGCAGACGCUGGUCGCCGGCGUCGCGGAGCUGCGGCUGGCCGUUCGCCGCCAGGCUCUGGGCGGUCGGCGGGGAAGAACGCAGAGCCGAGCGCUGUGCCGCCGGAGCAGCAGGGCGGCGGUGUCCCUGUGUCCCUCCUGUCCGUCCUGUGCAGUGGCCGAGGGAGCCUCGCAGCGCCGCCGCGGGGCCGCCGGCUCGCACGCGCCCUGCUCACGGUCCUCGGGUUUCUGGGACGCUUCGUGUGUCCGUGUGUGUGGAUGAUUACUUCGUGCUCGGUAACUGUUUUCCGAUUUCUGCUCCCUCCCGUUAGGCACAGUGGGCGCAGGCCCCGGGCCCAGGGUGCUUUCUGAGGCUCCUCCGAACUUCAGCUUCUUCUGAAUCGGAAGAUAAAUACCAACUGUGAGGUUGGCCGAAACGCUCUAGUAUAUAAUGUUAAUCAAUUAACCUUUAUGUGAUUCUAAUAGUGUUAUUAAUUGUUAUUAUUUUAGUGGAGGAAGAGGCCCAAGAAGUCAGAAGUCCCAAAAAACAGUGAAGCCUGGGAGCAGAUUAAUUAUAUUGUUCGGGAACCUGGAUUGGAUCGCCCGACGGAAGAACCAAGCGGGACCCGGAGAUCUUGGAGGAUAGGAGGUUUUAUUUAAAGGCAGCAGGCUCAUAGGAGAGUGGUCUCCAAAGGUCUGAGCCCCGAGCACAAAGGGGGCAAUUUAUUCACUUCCACUUCCACAUCCUUGGCACUUUUGGGGUGUGCAUGAAGCAGAGCAGGGAGAAGAACCCGGAAGAGCCCUGAGGCAAGGACUGGGACUCUCCUGCUGGCUCCAUUCGCCAUCUUAGGACACAGAUUUUUCCUUAUCAAUAUCAUAAAAUUUUGGUUUAUUUCUGAGCUCUUUAUCCAGUUCCAUUGAUCUAAUUUUGUGCCAAGACCAUACUGUUUAGAUUUUUUUUUUUUUUUAAAGAUUUUAUUUAUUUAAUUGAGAGAGAAUGAGAGAGAGCACAUGAGAGGGGGGAGGGUGAGAAGGAGAAGCAGACUCCCUGCCGAGCAGGGAGCCCGAUGCGGGACUCGAUCCAGGGACUCCAGGAUCAUGACCUGAGCCGAAGGCAGUCGCUUAACCAACUGAGCCACCCAGGCGCCCUACUGUUUUGAUUAUUAUAGCUCUGUAGAAUUUCUUGAAAUCUGAGAUUUUGACACUUCCAGCUUUGUUCUUCUUUCUCAAGAUUGCUUUGGCUAUUUGAGGUCCUUUGUGGGUCUAUACACAUUUUAAGAUUAUUUAUCCUAGUUCUGUGAAAAUUACUGUUAGUACUUUUCAAGAAUUGCAGUGACUCUGUAGAUUGCUUUGAGUAGUAUGGACAAUUUAACAACAAUUCCUCCAAUCCAUGAGCAUGGAAUGUAUUUCCAUUUGUGUGUGUCAUCUUCGAUUUCCUUCAUCAAUGAUUUAUAGUUUUCAGAGUAUAGGUCUUUCGCCUCCUUGGUUAAGUCUAUUCAUUGGUAUUUCUAAUGCAUACUUUCUUUGAUGAUGUCCAUUAUAAUCUAUGUAUUUAGAAGUGUGCUUUUAGUUUCCGAGCAUAUGAGAAGAUUGUUUUAUUUUUACUA